rnacentral:lncRNA from 1 species
UAUACCUUUAUGUAAACAAAUACACUCUAAGCCACUGUUUGGCUCGGGGUUAAGUAAAAACUUAUUAUUUCAGGAAUAAAGUUAAGUUCAGAAUUAAGGUGGGAUUGGAAUAAUUUUGUGUUUGAUUGAGAAUUAGAUUUAGUCCAGUAUAAAUAAAAUAGUAUUUGACUGGAGUAGAUGGGAUAAGAAGGAUAGUGGGUAAAAUAGUAUUUUAUUUGGUUGGAAUAGUGGGGUGGAAUGCCCACCCCCUAAAUUGGGUGUUUGGGAAUAACUUCGGAGUUAUUCCACCUUUAACCCUGAACCAAAGAGGUG